rnacentral:rRNA from 1 species
GUUAAAUAGAUUAUUCAGGAAUCUUAAAUAAAAUAAUAUUAAUUUUAUUAUUUUUAAAGAAAAAAUUUAGAUUAUUAUAGUUUAUUAGUAUAGUGAUAGAAAUCUUAAAAGUUGAAAAUUUAAGUUUUUAAAAGAAGAAUGGAUUUUGUACCUUGUGUAUCAGGGUUUAUUAAAUAAAGGUUAAAGAUUAAACUUUCUCGAUUUUGAAAGAGUUAAAAUAAUAUAAAUUUUAUUGUUGAAUAAAUAUUUAUAAUAUUAUUUUAGAAAUGAAACGUUAUUCGUUUUCAAAUAUAUCUAGUUUUUGAAGAAAAAAAUUUAAUUUUAGUUUUUUAGUUUAAAUUUAUUUAAUAGGAGAUGGAUUUUGUUAAUUAACUUAUAUAUUAAGGGAUAAGCUUUAAUAUAAAAAUUUAAAAUUGAGUAUUUUGUAUAGAAAUGUAGGAUUAUAAAUUUUCAUCAUUUAAUUUGUUAUAAUUAAUUUAUAAAAUAAUAUGAUUUAUUAAGAUUUAAGUAAUUUAUUCAAAUUAAUUAAUUAAUGAGAGAUUAGUUUUAAUAAUGGUAAAAUUAGUAUAGUUGAUUGUUUAUAUAUAAAAAUCUUGUUAGGUUAAAUAAAGGAAUUCGGCAAAUUAUUCUUCGCCUGUUUAUUAAAAACAUGUCUUUUUGUUUAUAAUUUAAAGUCUAACCUGCCCAUUGAAAUUUAAAAGGCCGCGGUAUUUUGACCGUGCGAAGGUAGCAUAAUAAUUAGUUUUUUAAUUGGAAGCUGGAAUGAAUGGUUGAACGAGAGAAUUACUGUCUCUAUUUAAGUUUUCUAGAACUUUAUUUUUAAGUUAAAAAGCUUAAAUAAAUUUAAAAGACGAGAAGACCCUAUAGAGUUUAAUAGGGCAAGGGUUUUUAAAUUAUUAGGAUUUUUUAUUUUAAAAUUUUUGUUUUAUUUUAUUGGGGUGAUGGGAAAAUUUAAGAAACUUUUUUUGUAUUAAAACAUUAAUUUAUGAUUUAUUGAUCCAUUAGUAAUGAUUAUAAGAUUAAAUUACCUUAGGGAUAACAGCGUAAUUUCUUUAAAGAGUUCUAAUCGAAAAAGAAGAUUGCGACCUCGAUGUUGGAUUAAAAUUUAUUCUUGGUGUAGAAGCUAGGGUGUUAGGUCUGUUCGACCUUUAAAAUUUUACAUGAUCUGAGUUUAAACCGGCGUGAGCCAGGUUGGUUUCUAUCUUUAAAAGGGCUAAUUAUUUUAGUACGAAAGGACCAAUUAAUUAUUAAACUAAUUUAUUUUGAAUUAUAUU